rnacentral:rRNA from 1 species
CCUACGGGAGGCAGCAGUAGGGAAUCUUCCACAAUGGGCGAAAGCCUGAUGGAGCAACGCCGCGUGGGUGAAGAAGGUCUUCGGAUCGUAAAACCCUGUUGUUAGAGAAGAAAGUGCGUGAGAGUAACUGUUCACGUUUCGACGGUAUCUAACCAGAAAGCCACGGCUAACUACGUGCCCGCAGCCGCGGUAAUACGUAGGUGGCAAGCGUUAUCCGGAUUUAUUGGGCGUAAAGGGAACGCAGGCGGUCUUUUAAGUCUGAUGUGAAAUCCUGCGGCUUAACCGGAGUAGUGCAUUGGAAACUGGAAGACUUGAGUGCAGAAGAGGAGAGUGGAACUCCAUGUGUAGCGGUGAAAUGCGUAGAUAUAUGGAAGAACACCAGUGGCGAAAGCGGCUCUCUGGUCUGUAACUGACGCUGAGGUUCGAAAGCGUGGGUAGCAAACAGGAUUAGAUACCCUUGUAGUC